UGCUUAUACUCUGCCGUCGGGACAGUAGUGAUAUCUUUAUUACUCUCCGGAGUGUAAAAUAUCGUCAGGUCUCGACGAGUAGGUGGGCCGCGGCGGUGAGCGCAGAAGGACUGGGCGUAGGCCCGUCUGGAGCCGCCGUCGGUGCAGAUCUUGGUGGUAGUAGCAAAUACUCCAGCGAGGCCCUGGAGGACUGACGUGGAGAAGGGUUUCGUGUGAACAGCCGUUGCACACGAGUCAGUCGAUCCUAAGCCCUAGGAGAAAUCCGAUGUUAAUGCAGUUGUGUCUUUAUUAUACGAAUGACAAUUAGUGUGAGAGUUUCAAACAGUUGACGUUCAUACUUUGAUACAGAUAUAUAAUAAUGCUGGCUGAUCUAUUAAUACUACUAUCACUCACUCGCUCGCUAUUGAUAUAAGUGUAGCUCACUAUUUCUACUGUUUACGCGGUAGUUGUAUACUCUCACUUGGUUCAAUCAGUGUCAGUGUGUCUGGUGGGUUUGUAUGAUAGUUGAAACACUUUGUUAUUGUAGAAAAGUGUCUUCUGUCUCUAUCCACUAAUAUACAAAUCGUUGUUAGAGAAGUAUCACACUCAUUGGGCGAAAGGGAAUCCGGUUCCUAUUCCGGAACCCGGCAGCGGAAC
rnacentral:rRNA from 1 species